AGCACCUCCAAAGUCUUGCCACGUCGAUGACGUCUACAAUUGUAAAAGCAGAAAAUGUUGAAAAAAGACAGAGAAAAAUGGGGUUUACCAGGAGGGGAGAGGAGAGAAGAGGAGGUUCGGUUUGUGCAAUGACAAGUUGUUGUGAUUUAAUGUUUUCCAUCUUUUCCCCCCACCCGUCAUGGCUGUCGCUGACGGAUAUAUUAAAGCUUCGAUUAUGCCAUCAUCAGGAGGAGAAGGACCAGGACAACAGGCGGGGAGGACCCUCUGUGUGUUUGCUCAUGUGUCUGUCUGUCGUGUCUGUUCGGGGGAGAGGGUGCAGGCAUUGAGGCAGACAACAAAUUGUUAGACGCUACAAUGAACAUUCGAUGCGAUUGAUUGAAAAGUCAUCCCGGGAAAGAGGAGAUAAAAUGCCAUUGGUUUAUGCUGUUAUCACGAUGAAAGGGAUCUUUUAUGCUCAGGUCUCCCGCCCCGCCCCUCUGCCCUUUAUUGUGUGUCAACAAGUUUGGAGGACAAACAAUUUAAAUUACAAAGCAAACUCAAUAAAAAUGUUAAAAACUUUUUCGGCCAACACAAGAGAGAGA